rnacentral:tRNA from 1 species
AAGACUUUAAGUUAAAAAAACUAUUAACCUUCAAAGUUGAAAUUAUUAAAUAAUGUAUUAAGUCUUA